CAGGGUUAACCCUGGCCCGGUUCGGCCUGGUUCAGUCCAAAUCAGACUCCAUCCCCAGGGUUAAACCCCCCUGGUCCAACUUGGUCCAGUUCGGCUCGGCCCGGUUCGGCCCAACUCGGCCCAGCUCCACCCCAGGGUUAACCCUGGCCCGGUUCGGCCCGGUUCGGUCCAAAUCAGACUCCAUCCCCAGGAUUAAACCCCCCCAGUCCAACUCGGCCUGGUUCAGCUCGGCCCGGUUCGGCCCAGCUCGGCCCAGCCCCACCCUGGGGUUAACCCUGGCCCGGUUCAGCCCGGUUCGGUCCAAAUCAGACUCCACCCCCAGGCCCAACUCGGCCCGGUUCAGCCCAACUCAGCCCAGCUCCACCCUGGGGUUAACCCUGGCCUGGUUCGGCCCAGUUCGGCCCAACUUGGCCCAGCUCCACCCCAGGGUUAACCCUGGCCCGGUUCGGUCCAAAUCAGAUUCCACCCCCAGGCUUAAACCCCCCCGGUCCAACUUGGCCCGGUUCGGCUUGGCCCGGUUCGGCCCAACUCGGCCCAGCUCCACCCCAGGGUUAACCCUGGCCCAGUUCGGCCCGGUUCGGUCCAAAUCAGACUCCACCCCCAGGCUUAAACCCCCCUGGUCCAACUCGGCCUGGUUCGGUUCGGCCUGGUUCAGCCCAACUCGGCCCAGCUCCACCCCAGGUUUAACCCUGGCCCGGUUCAGCCCAGUUUGGCCCAACUUGGCCCAGCUCCACCCCAGGGUUAACCCUGGCCCGGUUCGGCCCGGUUCGGUCCAAAUCAGACUCCACCCCCAGGCCCAACUCGGCCCGGUUCAGCCCAACUCGGCCCAGCUCCACCCCAGGGUUAACCCUGGCCCGGUUCUGUCCAAAUCAGACUUCAUCCCCAGGGUUAAACCCCCCCUGGUCCAACUUGGCCUGGUUUGGCUCGGCCUGGUUCAGCCCAACUCGGCCCAGCUCCACCCCAGGGUUAACCCUGGCCCGGUUCGGCCCGGUUUGGUCCAAAUCAGACUCCACCCCCAGGGUUAAACCCCCCUGGUCCAACUCGGCCUGGUUCGGCUCGGCCUGGUUCAGCCCAA
rnacentral:lncRNA from 1 species